ensembl:piRNA 21ur-8589 ncRNA
UACUCUUGUUUUAUUCAGGCA